GAGUUUGAUCAUGGCUCAGAACGUACGCUGGCGGCACGCCUAACACAUGCAAGUCGAACGAAGUAGCAAUACUAGUGGCAGACGGGUGAGUAACAUGUGGGUAUCUGCCCUUUGGCCUGGAAUAACACGAGGAAACUUGUGCUAAUACCGGAUAAGUCUUUACGGAGAAAGCUUUAUGCACCAUUGGAUGAGCCUGCACUUGAUUAGUUUGUUGGUGGGGUAAUGGCCUACCAAGACUGUGAUCAAUAGCUGAUUUGAGAGGAUGAUCAGCCACAUUGGGACUGAGACACGGCCCAAACUCCUACGGGAGGCAGCAGUGGGGAAUCUUGCACAAUGGAGGAAACUCUGAUGCAGCGAUGCCGCGUGAGUGAAGAAGGCCCUUGGGUUGUAAAGCUCUUUCGUCGGGGAAGAAAAUGACUGUACCCGAAUAAGAAGGUCCGGCUAACUUCGUGCCAGCAGCCGCGGUAAUACGAAGGGACCUAGCGUAGUUCGGAAUUACUGGGCUUAAAGAGUUCGUAGGUGGUCGAAAAAGUUAGUGGUGAAGUCCCAGAGCUUAACUCUGGAACUGCCAUUAAAACUUUUCAGCUAGAGUAUGAUAGAGGAAAGCAGAAUUUCUAGUGUAGAGGUGAAAUUCGUAGAUAUUAGAAAGAAUACCAAUUGCGAAGGCAGCUUUCUGGAUCAUUACUGACACUGAGGAACGAAAGCAUGGGUAGCGAAGAGGAUUAGAUACCCUCGUAGUCCAUGCCGUAAACGAUGUGUGUUAGACGUUGGAAAUUUAUUUGCAGUGUCGCAGGGAAACCGAUAAACACACCGCCUGGGGAGUACGACCGCAAGGUUAAAACUCAAAUGAAUUGACGGGGACCCGCACAAGUAGUGGAGCAUGUGGUUUAAUUCGAAGAUACGCGCAGAACCUUACCAACACUUGACAUGUUCGUCGCGACUCUAAGAGAUUAGAGUUUUCGGUUCGGCCGGACGAAACACAGGUGCUGCAUGGCUGUCGUCAGCUCGUGUCGUGAGAUGUUGGGUUAAGUCCCGCAACGAGCGCAACCCUCACUUUUAGUUGCCAUCAUUAAGUUGGGCACUCUGAAAGAACUGCCAGUGAUAAGCUGGAGGAAGGUGGGGAUGACGUCAAGUCCUCAUGGCCCUUACGUGUUGGGCUACACACGUGCUACAAUGGUAUUUACAACAGGAAGCAAGACUGCGAAGUUAAGCAAAUCCCUAAAAGAUACCUCAGUUCGGAUUGCACUCUGCAACUCGAGUGCAUGAAGCUGGAAUUACUAGUAAUCGUGGAUCAGCGUGCCACGGUGAAUGCGUUCCCGGGUCUUGUACACACCGCCCGUCACACCAUGGGAGUUGGUUCUACCUUAAGGCAAGGUUUCAAACCCUUGACCACGGUAUAGUCAGCGACUGGGGUGAAGUCGUAACAAGGUAACC
rnacentral:rRNA from 1 species